CCGGUGUUGAGAGAGGCGAUGAAAUAUCUGAGGAUACUUGCCGCAAAUCAGAUUUUUACUUGCUUUUAUAUAUUCGAAAUAUCGGAUGGGAGCAAGAAAGAUGUAAGGGAGAAAACAAUUUCUGGAAAUUAGAAAAAUGCCACAUCCUUUUUACCCGGUGGCUGUUGUGAUUGGGUUGUAACUUGGAACGCACGUUUAGUUUCUCUCUGGUUAUGUAUUAUUUAUUGUUCUCGUUUCUGGGCUCACUCUCAUUCAUGAGAUUUCAAAAUCAGCCCACUUUUAAAUACUGUGACGUUUCCUUCCGAAUUCACCACACUCACUCUGUUAGCUUCAAAAUUCUCUUGUAAUCUACGGAGCUUUUUCUGAUGCGUGUCUAUGGUACACGAAGAAAAGUAUCAGUAACAAUUGACGGUGAGUGUUGUUGCAUGCAAUCAAUUAUUAUUAUUGGCAUAUAUAGUUUGUUGUUAUACCCAGGGGGUGAGAAGAUGACCGGUGAAGGGAGGAGAAGAUGGAGAUCAGGGGAGCAAUGGUUCCUUCCUAGUUAGAUCCCAUUCGCCUCUGCCUUUCUCAACAGUAAUACAUUUUUUCUCCGCAAUCCCUGAGUCUUCUCUUCGUCCAGAGCCUUCUUGCGAUUCGCUGCAGUCUGCCUUUCCGUUGUCACCGCUUUUAGUUAUCUGCUGUUCAAUUUCCCUGCCGACGUUACCAUCUCUCAAAGCCAUUUAUGGUUUUCUUUUGUUGUUACCAACACUACGGCGUUACCGUUACCGUUACCGUUGCCGUCGCGGGCUCCGCCCGUGUUGGCCGGCCUUCUGGCCCUGGGUUCAUUCUCCCCUAAUUCAAACGUUUCGUUCUCCUGGUCUCCUCAUAUUUAAAAAACGGUUGUAUCUCUUCCAUUUCCACCACUCAUAACCUAGUGGCCUCUUCAUUUGUUGCCAUCAAUACUUCCAAUGCACCAAAUUCCCUUUCAAUUCCCUACUCCUCGUGGGAUUUGGAGUCUGAAAUCGAUUUUUGAAGCUUCUUAACUUGACGGACGUUGCUCGUUGCUACUUCUGGCGACUUGUACUCUCUAAAUGUUAAUUUAGAUGGUCUUUUUUACAAAAAGUUAAAGAGAUACUUUUUGUAUGAUAUUGAUAUUCAUUAUCAUCUAAUACUACCUUUAGUGAUUUUUUAAUGAAAGCAAUUUUAAUUGAAAGUUUUUUUCCGACAAUUCUUACGCCAACAGCUUGAACUUGCUUUACUUUCAUAGGGCGUUGCUGUCGUGACCUCUUCUCCUAGGAUUUCCUCCUUGGCAUUCUGGAUACCCUACUCACACUCUGCAUUAAGAUAAAUGUGGACGGUACAGUGGCAUAUCCGACCGGAGGCACGGUGGGUUUAGUUGUUCGGAAUGCCCAUUGGUCGAUUUGGCAGGAUAUUGGAUGAACGUAUCCAAGACUCUUUGAUCCCUAUGUAAUGGAGCUUCUGACUGUUUGUGAUGCUUUUGAUUGGUGUUCCCGUCAUGGAUUCUGGUAGGUCGACUUCAGGGGAUAUCGAGACAGUCAUCUUAAAGCUUGUUCGGAGGAGCACCCGGUGUGUUGCAGGUGGAGCCAUGAUUUUCAAGAUCCUGGCCUUUCUGGCUGUUUGCCCCAUUCACAUGUCCAGGUGACAGGCGUUCCGCCAACAGAGCUGUCCAUAAAGUAGCCCGUCAGACAAUUUCAUAUUUCCUUAUAAGCGUUUGUAAGCGUUUAGGUGAUUGAUCGGAAUUCCGUCCGAUCUCUGUAAGCGGUGGGGAAUGAUGAUCGGAGUGGCAAUGGAAGUGGAGGCUAUUUGUUUAGCACGUUAGGGAAGAUGAAAUUUUCAUUUUUUUAAUAUGUAAUUUAAUAUUUUGUAUUUUUAAUAAUUAUGCUUAAAUAAAUUUAAAGAAAAU
rnacentral:lncRNA from 1 species